GUGUGGCCAGCCCCGUGUGGAAGACUAGUGAUUUUGUUGUUGUCUCACUGUGCUCAACAACAAGUCCCAGUCUGCCGCAUGGUGCCGG
ensembl:miRNA